UAUGGAUGAAGUGUGAGUACCAUG
rnacentral:siRNA from 1 species